UACGUAGGGCGCAAGCGUUGUCCGGAUUCACUGGGUGUAAAGGGUGCGCAGGCGGGAAAGUAAGUUAGAGGUGAAAUCUCACAGCUCAACUGUGAAACGGCCUUUGAUACUGCUUUUCUUGAGUUAGGGAGAGGUUGAUGGAAUUCCAGGUGUAGCGGUGAAAUGCGUAGAUAUCUGGAAGAACACCGGUGGCGAAGGCGGUCAACUGGCCCUAAACUGACGCUACAGGCACGAAGCGUGGGAUGAAACAGGAUAGAUACC
rnacentral:rRNA from 1 species